rnacentral:rRNA from 1 species
UACGUGAGCCCCGAGCGUUAUCCGGAAUUACUGGGCGUAAAGAGUGCGUAGGUGGUCGUGUUAGUCUCUUGCCAAAUCCUUCGGCUCAACCGAAGAACUUCAAGGGAAACGGCACGACUGGAACAUGUGAGAGGUUUGCGGAACUCAUGGUGUAGGGGUGAAAUCCGUUGAUAUCAUGGGGAACACCAAAUGCGAAGGCAGCAAACUGGCGCAUUGUUGACGCUGAGGCACGAAAGCGUGGGUAGCGAAUGGG